AACAAUUGUAUUAAUAAUCACGAAUUAAACAAAAAAAUUAAUUUAUUUUUAAAGUUUUUACAAUUCAAAUUUCAAUCCACUUUUAAUAUUCAGUCUGAUAAUAAUGACCAAACAACAAUGUUUAAUUCUUUUAUUACAUAUUUAGAUACAUAUAGAAACAUAUUUACCGACUUUAAUCUAAAUUAUAUCCUUAAUCCUUAUGAAAGGAAAGGAACUACUAUAAAAGAAAUUGUAUAUUUUGAAAAAGGAAAAGCAAAAAAGAUAAAAUUAAAAAGGGAUAGUAGUGCCAAUAACAUAAACAAUACAAACUCCAGUAAUAGUAAUAAAAAAUGUAAUGAUUACCUAUACUUACUACAACAACAAUCCUUAACCAGUUCAUUAAACAAUUUUAUUUUUUUAUAUAAAAACUUUAAUAAAUCAAAAGAACAAUGGCAUAAUUUAUUUCGUAAUAUUAUUCAACAAUAUAUUAAUAAUUUGUUCUCUAUUGAUAAUAUUUAUAAAAGAAAAUUUCAGCACAAUGUAACGAAUGGUAAAGUAAUUAGUACAACAUCAGAUAACGAUACUUCUGUCAGUUUUGGUAAAAAAUCUGAUGACAAACAUGAUGGUCAUAAAAAAAAAAAAAAAAAAAAAAAAAAAAAACAGAACAAGUUAAUAAAUGAAAAAACAGUUAAAAACGAAAACACAAUUAAAAGAGAAAACACAAUUAAAAGAGAAAACACAAUUAAAAGAGAAAACACAAUUAAAAGAGAAAACACAAUUAAAAUUGAAAAACUGUUUAAAAACCAAUUUAAUUGUAUAUAUUCAUCAUUUAGAAAGGAAAACAUUUACUCUCGUUUUAUAAAUUUAAUUUAUAAACUAAAUAAAUUAAACAACAGUUAUGUAUUAUAUUUUUAUACAUACUUAAAUAUAAUUAAUUUUAUUAAACAAUUAUUUAUACAACAAAAUUUAUGUUUUUAUGAAAAUAUAGUAAAAGAGCAAAAUAUUUUUAUACAAGCAAAUACAAAAUUGUUAAAACAUAUUUUAAUUUAUGUACAUAUAUUAUAUGAACAAAAAAAAAAUAGUCAUAAUAAUUCUGACAUUUUUUAUAAACAAAAAUUAAAUAAUCUAUUGGUAAAUACACUUACUAGCUAUUUCCAUUCUAUUUUUGUAUGUAUAAAAAAUAAUAACAAUCAAAUUUUUGUUUUUCUUGACAGUUGGAAUAUAAAAAAUUGUUUUUCAAAUAACAGAAAAUCAACAAAUGAAGCCUUUCAUUGUUAUUUUGUUAAAAAUAUAUUUUUUUAUAUAUGUUUCCCAUUUUUAAAAAAUAAAAUAAAAGAUUAUUCUUUAACUGAUUAUAACUUAUAUUUCAUAAGCAAUGAUGAUAUUGAUAUAAAUUUGUUUUUUUCAG
rnacentral:lncRNA from 1 species